GGCCCAAUGGUCUAGUCGUAGGAUACUCCCUUCGGGUUAACACCCGCUUGCAAGCCUGUGAGCAGUCAUGGGAGUGGUCCCGGGUUCAAUUCCCGGUUGAGCCC